rnacentral:rRNA from 1 species
GACGUAGGGUGCAAGCGUUGUCCGGAAUUAUUGGGCGUAAAGAGCUCGUAGGCGGUCUGUCGCGUCGGCUGUGAAAUCCCGAGGCUCAACCUCGGGUCUGCAGUCGAUACGGGCAAACUAGAGUAUUGCAGGGGAGACUGGAAUUCCUGGUGUAGCGGUGAAAUGCGCAGAUAUCAGGAGGAACACCGGUGGCGAAGGCGGUUCUCUGGGCAUGUCCUGACGCUGAGGAGCGAAAGUGUGGGGAGCGAACAGG